rnacentral:tRNA from 1 species
GGCCCUGUAGCCCAAUAGGCAGAGGCACGCGACUUAAAAUCGCGCCAGUGCGGGUUCGAGUCCCGCCAGGGCCA